CCUGGACAGUGCGUCAGCCACCUU
rnacentral:snRNA from 1 species